UUUGCUUCCCUAGCCACUUGCUCCACCAUGUGCUUCUUCCGUGAUGCUCUCAGCCUGCCACAGGCACAAAAUCCAUGGGAACAGCAGACUACAAACUGAGACCUCUGAAACCAAGAGCCAACCUUUUUCCACAAUUUAAAUUGCUUUCUCAGGUUAAAAUGGAAUAACAGGAACCAGAUUUACCUUCCCAUCUACCAAAACUUAAAAUAUAUGAAGCAAUGUUUUUUCAAGAUACUGGACAUCUGACAAUGAAGGACAGUGAUCCCUGAAAGAAGGGGAACAAAUAAGAGGAGCCCUGCCACUGCUCAGCUACCUGCCUGAAAAAUAGCUCGGGCAAAGAGAAGCCAAGAAAGCAGACAUUGCACGAGGCACAGCACACCUGUAAUCCUGGUAGCUCUGGAGCUAGAGGCAGACCAGCCCGCAAAAUGUAUGGAUAUCCUAUCUAAAAAUAAAAUAUAAAAAUGACUGAGAAUAUAGCUCAAUGGUAGAGCAUGCCUGGGUUCAAUGUUCAGUACCAAAGAGACGUGAAGUGAAGGGAGAAGAUUAAAAGAAGGCAGAAAGAGGAAAAGGGAACAAAGAGAUAAAAGUUAUGGAGUCUGAGUAGGUACUGGCUGGUAAGCACUUCAUAAGCA